UACGUAGGGCGCAAGCGUUGUCCGGAAUUAUUGGGCGUAAAGAGCUCGUAGGCGGUUUGUCGCGUCUGUCGUGAAAGCUUGGGGCUUAACCCCAAGUCUGCGGUGGAUACGGGCAGACUAGAGGCAGGUAGGGGAGAACGGAAUUCCUGGUGUAGCGGUGAAAUGCGCAGAUAUCAGGAGGAACACCGGUGGCGAAGGCGGGACUCUGGGCCGAUACUGACGCUGAGGAGCGAAAGCGUGGGGAGCAAACAGG
rnacentral:rRNA from 1 species